rnacentral:lncRNA from 1 species
AGCAAUGUUCAAACACUUAAAAUAAUGUCGAUCACAAAACAACUGGACAGGCAUGCACCAAAACCUUUAGGGGUAGAAUGAGAAGGAGGUGGUAUUAUACACAUAUGAACUUAAAAGUGCUAAAAUUUCACUAGCCAAGUAUUUUCCCUCAGAGGUAUUUACUGCAGAACAAAUAAGAACAGAGCAACGCCAGUGAGUUUGGCCUUCCUCUGGGCUCAAACUGCUGAGUUUUGAAGACAGAGAUGGAUUUACUUGGAGUUGGGAGGCUAGACUGGAGACCAGCUUGGCCACCCUCCCCCAGGGUCCCGUAUGUCCUCACAGGAAAGCUCC